GGGGUACCGCCUGAAGGCGGCCAGGAGCAUUCCCGCCGGGUCUGCAGAACCGAAAAGGGUGUAACGGUAGCCCGGACUGGAAAUGUGCUGACUACACACAGGCCGGAAGGCACAAACUAGCAAAGUAGUGAACGACUUAGAGAGCAUCCAAACGUAUUUACAAAAGGGAAAACUGAGGCCCAGCGUCCCUGCGUGAGCUAAGAGGAGGCGACAGAUGCAGCACUCGAUCGCCUCUGGUCCAGCCGAGACGACGGAGACGACGGUCGCUAGGCCUGGGGAGAGGGGCUCCGGUGACCAGAGGGCCAUAGGAUGUCCGGCGACCGGCGACCGGCCCGCCCCUUCAGACCCGCCAUGGGACCUCCUCCCUCUCCUUCCCAGUGUGUCUAUUCCUAAACAAGAAGAAAUGGGGUCUGCUCACCCAGUGCCACAGCGACGAGCAGGAGCAGAGGCUUCAUGGUGCUACGAUCUCUCCUACCAAGUCUUUUCUUCCCCUUUCACUUUCAUUUUCCUUCUAAGGCUGGGGUGAGGAACUGGAAAUUCCCCGAUCUGGUCAGGUGAGGGCGUGACUG
rnacentral:lncRNA from 1 species